GAGCAUUCAUUUGCUCACUUCGUUCUCUCUCCUCAAACGAAACCCAGAGUUUCUCUGCAACUCUCUUUUCUCUCUUUCGUCGUCUCAACGGCCAAACCUGUCGGAGAAGACGGUGGUGGUCGGCCAACCGUGGCGGCACCGCCUUCUUCUCCGGCGACCCCCACCCUAAAACCUGAAAGUCUAAACACAUACCCCACCUCUUUUUGGUCGGAGAUUUCAAAUCCGACCUUGUUUCUCCCAAAACCUCUCUCAAAUGGCCGGAUCGGCGCUCCAAAAGAGAGCACAAACCUAAAACCUAACCCUAACAUUCUCUCUCUCGCAGCCAACGAAACCUGGUUCGUUCUAUCAACGAAACAAACCUAAACACUAGCCAACAAACAGUUGAAAACCCUAACCCUAAUUCUGAAAUUAGGCCUUCUAUAGUUAUGAUUUAAGGAAAUCAACAAAGGGUUUUCAAUCAGUGUGGAAAGGCGAAGAUGAUGGUGCAAAAAAUUUAAGCGGGAAUGAAGAUUUUACUUGGUCGGAGUCAAUCGCCGGCGACGUCUCCCCACCGCGUUUGAGAUAAGUCCCUUCGUCCUUUUAACUCCUUCUUCUGCUUUUGUUCUUCUCUCCACACUCUUUUGUUUGGAUGUUGUUUGCUAUUGUUUUCUUUGAAUGUUUAUGUGUUUUGUGUUUAAAAAUUAUUUUGAUUGUUUCUUCUUUUUUAUUCAACCGUGCCUACUGUUAACCUGUUCUGGAUAUAUAUAUGAUGAAUUUUAGGUCUUGAGAUAACUUGUUAGGUUAUCUUUUCCAUUCAUAUUUUAUGGGAUUGUUACUUUGUGGUUUUAUUGUUGUUUGGAUUAGAUGUUCAUUAUGAUAUUCUGGGCAAAGCUCUAAUCUGUUCAAAUCAUCAUUUUAUUUUCCAAUUGUUUAUUAAGUGCUUAUUUGAAAGGACUUUUAACCUUCUGAGUUGAUUUUGCAGGUUUACAAAAGUGAAGUGACUUUGAAUUGAAAGGAAGUAUGCGCCUGUUUUGGAGGUUGGGUUUGGGGCGCUGUGAAUUUCAAAGGAGUUUUGGCAAAUGGCUUUUGAGAGCUUCGUCCUCAAACUGCUGGAUUUGCAGCUUAUUUCCACUUUUUUCAAAUUUAUUUUGAUGUACUUAGAACUUUUGGAUAAAGUGUACUUUUGGACUUGUUUGUGACAUUUUGGAUUAUGUGUUGACUUUUGGAUUAAUUAUGUAAGCUUUUGGAAUUAUUUGUAAUAUUUUGGAUUAAAAAUUCAAUUAUGCAAUUAAUCUUUUUUAAACAUUUUAA
rnacentral:lncRNA from 1 species